GCUCUCCCAUAUGGUCGACCUGCAGGCGGCCGCGAAUUCACUAGUGAUUAGAGUUUGAUCAUGGCUCAGAACGAACGCUGGCGGCAUGCCUAAUACAUGCAAGUCGAACGAAGGCUUCGGCCUUAGUGGCGCACGGGUGCGUAACGCGUGGGAAUCUGCCCCUUGGUUCGGAAUAACAGUUAGAAAUGACUGCUAAUACCGGAUGACGACGUAAGUCCAAAGAUUUAUCGCCGAGGGAUGAGCCCGCGUAGGAUUAGCUAGUUGGUGUGGUAAAGGCGCACCAAGGCGACGAUCCUUAGCUGGUCUGAGAGGAUGAUCAGCCACACUGGGACUGAGACACGGCCCAGACUCCUACGGGAGGCAGCAGUGGGGAAUAUUGGACAAUGGGCGAAAGCCUGAUCCAGCAAUGCCGCGUGAGUGAUGAAGGCCUUAGGGUUGUAAAGCUCUUUUACCCGGGAUGAUAAUGACAGUACCGGGAGAAUAAGCUCGGCUAACUCCGUGCCAGCAGCCGCGGUAAAUCGAAUUCCCGCGGCCGCC
rnacentral:rRNA from 1 species